GCCUGGAUGGCUCAGUCGGUUAAGCAUCUGCCUUCAGCUCAGACCAUAAUCCCAGGGUCUUGGGAUCGAGCCCCAAAUCGGGCU
rnacentral:tRNA from 1 species